AUUGAACGCUGGCGGCAAGCCUAACACAUGCAAGUCGAACGAGUGGCGGACGGGUGAGUAAUGUCUGGGAAACUGCCUGAUGGAGGGGGAUAACUACUGGAAACGGUAGCUAAUACCGCAUACCAUCGGAUGUUCCCAGAUGGGAUUAGCUAGUAGGUGGGGUAAAGGCCUACCUAGGCAACGAUCCCUAGCUGGUCUGCGAGGUUGACCAGCCACACUGGAACUGAGACACGGUCCAGACUCCUACGGGAGGCAGCAGUGGGGAAUCUUGCACAAUGGGCGAAAGCCUGAUGCAGCCAUGCCGCGUGAAUGAAGAAGGCCUUCGGGUUGUAAAGUUCUUUCAGCAGGGAGGCGUUACCCGCAGAAGAAGCACCGGCUAACUCCGUGCCAGCCGCCGCGGUAAUAC
rnacentral:rRNA from 1 species